UCUUGAAAUAAAUAAUUUAUUAACAAUAUUAUUCUUCCAAUAAAUACCAUCAAUCGUCCGGUGAGAAUACAGAAAGUAACAGCUCAGCAACGCUGCACAAACAUCCCUUAGAUUCCAGUGUUAGUUUGGCAGAGCAGCUCCCUGAGUGCUCAACAGGAAGUACCUAGGAUUGGUCUCCAGCUCUGCCCUCCCCAAGGAAGAACACUUAACAUUCACUUUAGAGUUCAGAAACACAAGCUUAGAUACAGCCUCCGUAACCGCUGAGCCCUUAAAGCUACAUUAAAAUCUUCCGUACUAGUUUACCUUAUUAGAGAGGAAAAAAUACUGGUCUAAGUCAAAAACCCUGGGUUCUCAUCUUAAUUUUGACCUCGCCCUGGUUUUCUGAGAUACACUGUUGUAGUCAGGCCAAUCUCACCACUUGAGUACUGAGACUACAGGCAUAAGCCUGUACCUUUCAUAUACAGGUAGGUCUUUAAGUUUUUUAUGGUAUUUUCCAUAGGAUAACCACCCCACGGUUUCUCUGUGUAGCUCUGGCUGUCCUAAAACUCUGUAAACCAGGCUAAGCUUCAAACUCAAGAGAUCUGUCUGCCUCUGCUCCCCACUGCUGGCAUCAAAGGCAUGCACCACCACGGCUCACUCCAUACCUUCAAGUUUAAAGUGUACAUGUUUUUAGUAUGUUUAUACUUACUUAGCAUGUUAUAUAUUUACUACAAUGUCUGAUUUUAGUAGUCUCUGUCCAAGCCCCAAAACUCUUCAUUGUUAGCAAUCAAUCGCCCACCCUAUGUCUUUACAGACUUGCCUAUUCUGCAUUAUUUCAUGUAACUUAUGCUAAUUACUAGCAUCACUAAUAUUGUUAGCAAGUAACUCGAUCUGUGUGAAUAGGUUCUUCCACUUAAGAUUUCAAAACUCUCCCAUGCUGUGCUGUCUGUCAGGGUCUGCAGCCACUUUUAUUGCUUUUAUUGUUCUCUUGUAUGGAAAGACAGGAUAGCGCAUACUACUUAUCCAUUCUUCAGCUGGGCUCUGGGGUUGCCUCCACUUUUAGCUAUUAUAAACAACGUUAUAUAGGAUUUUAUGUGUACCUAUUUGUGCUCAAUCAUCUAAUAACGCAAUGUUUACCCUUUUAAUUAACUGCCAAACUGUGUUUCAAGGCAGCUGUAGUAAUCUGCAUUUCUAUCAGUUUAAACUGUUCCAUUGUGCCCUUGCAACAUUUUGUUUCCUUUUUUAAUAAAAAAAAAAAGACUUUAUUAUAUGUGUACAUAUACUACUCUAUUUAUUAUGUGUACACUGUAGCUGUCUUGAGACACACCAGAAGGGGCAUUAGAUCCCAUUACAGAUGGUUGUGAGCCACCACGUGGUUGCUGGGAAUUGAACUCAGGACCUCUGAAGAGCAGUUAGUGCUUUUUACCGCUGAGCCAUCUCUCCAACCCAACAUUUUGUUUCUUAAAGACAGGGUCUCAUUAUGUCAUCUGGUUGGCCUCAAACUUGCUAUGUAGUCCUGGUUAGCCUUGAACUCAAAGAUACUGCCUGUUUCCCGAGUAACGGGAUUGAAGAUGUAUGCAACCACAGCAUGCUUAAACACUGGUCACUUUUCAUUACACUCAUAGUGGGCACAAAUAAAAAUAAAAAGGAUGGAAAAAUUUAUGUCAUUUUUAAAAAAAAAUCAUUUAACUUUAUGUGCAUUAGUAUUUUGCCUACAUUUAUGUCUAUGUGAGGGUGUUGAAUCCCUGGGAGCCAGAGCUACACUUGUUAGCUGCCAUGCAGGUGUUGGGAAUUGAACACAGCUCUGCUGGAAGAGCAGCUGGUGGUUUUAGCUGCUAAGCCAUCUCUCUAGCCCCUAUAUAGUACUUCUUAAAACUACUCUACAUACUAAGGUGUCGCAGUAAAAGAAAUAAAUACAUUAAUCAGACUCCUUUAUGACAAUUACUGAAGGACAAGAGUUGGUUAGAACCCUUAAUAUAUAAUGAAGAAACCAACCGUUUGACAUUCAGCUAUAGUUGACGGAUGUAGUUUAACACAGGGGAAAGAGCCAUAGAAACCUUGCUGACAGGUGUACACACUAGUGAUCUGCAACCAAUUAUUCAGCUGUUGGACUGAACUGUAUUAGAGUGAAAUUAUUCAGAAAAAGAAGUUUCUGGAUUGAAUGUGUUUAGACAUUUCUGGCCUUCUCUAAGCAUCAGGAAUUUUUUGGUUUUGGUGGGGUUUUUGUUGUUGUUGUUUUUCCCCCUCAGGGUUUCUCUAUAUAACCCUGACAGUCCUGGAGCUCACUUUGUAGACCCCGCUGACCUUGAACUCAUAGAGAUCUACCUGCCUCUGCCUCCCAAGUGCUGGGAUUAAGAUGCAUUACCACCACCAGGUCAACAACAUGAUUCUAAUUUAAACAGCAUAUACACUGUCCCAAGCAUUGUCAACAAUUUAGAGAUCAUUUAAACUGUACAGAAAGGAAGAAUAUGUAAGGGAAUAUAUAAAUACUGUGCCAUUUUAUACGUGGAAUGUGUGCAUCCUCAGAUGUUGGUAUUGAGAGUUAUGAAUGCAAUCCCAACAUGUAAAGUCAAACUCAUCAAGUCACCUUUGCUGCAGUGAGCUUUCUCAGCCACAAGCAGCACAACAAAGCAUCGAGAGCGAGUCCUCUGAAAUGCGCAUUUAAGUGUACUUAAGAUGACUGGAAAUUCCCCUUCUCAGGUAAAUACUCUUAUUUUCAUCUCUUUCUUCCCCAAUGCCUAUCUCAUACACUAAUCUUGCUAAAGAAAACAAAAACCUAGUUUAUCCACUGUAUUUAUUCUUUUCUGUGUAGGAGGAUACCUUCAGUGUCUGAGAGAUAGGCCAGCCAAUCUUCCUCAGCUGCUUCGAUGAACCUGAAGUCUAUUUACGGAUUACGGUGGCUAGCCAGCAAACCCCUGGUCUCCUCCUGUCUCCUCCUCCUCCUCAACCUGGCGUUACAGGCGCAUGCCACUGCUCCAUGAGUACUGCAAUCCAGACUAAGGUUUGACUCCCUGAGCCACUUCCCCAGUUUACUAUUCACAUUCCUUUAGUAAUUAGACACUAUUCAGUAUAUAACAGAAGGAUUAACAGUUUAAACAGUUGAAACAAGAAUGAUUCAUCCUAAAGUGUUCUGAAACUCUAUUCAGUUACACAAACCCAAAGCUACAAAGUCCAUAACCAAAAAAGAAAGUUCUAAUGGCGUCUGGAUGGGAAUUACAUUUUUCUGGGUUUCCCCCACCCCUGAGUGGGUAGAGUGGGGGUUCCCUCCAUUGCUGUAUUGAACCAAAGGUCUUAUAUGUGAUAAGAAAAUAUUUUACCAUUGAACUAUCUCUAGCCCUGAAUGGUACUAAAUUAUGAAUUAAACUCAUUUUCAACACACUCUGCCCAAAGACAGAUUAUUUAAGAAGAAAAAUUGCUCUUAAUAAUGGUAUCAAUGGAUGUCUAAAUUGUUAGAAAACAAGCCAAGCAGGGCAAUAUGAUCAUCAUCCUGAUAUUCACGAGGGAGAGGCAGGAAGACUGCAAGUGCAAGUGCAAGUGCAAGGUCAGCCCAGGCUAUAUUGGGAGAUCCUGUCUCAAAGAACCAGAACGUCCAGGACCAGAAGUGCUAUAGUUUCUUCCGAUGUGUUCUUGAAUGGGAGGAAAUGGCAUCCAGAAACUCAGUCAAGGCCAUGAAUCAAAACAGACUGAACCUGAUUCCAGGAGGCAAAGGCAAAGGCAGGCAGAUUCCUGCAAGUUCCAGGCCAGCUUCGUCUACACAGUAAGUUCCAAGCCAUCCAAGGCUACAUGAGAACAGAGCAAGCAAACAAAAUACAAAAACAAACCACAGUGAAACAAAGAGGGUUAAGAAUUUAGCUGUCUCUUGUGCAGACUUUAGGUUUACACAAAUGAAUAACAUUCUCAAUAAUUUAUGCAAUUAUUUUUUCACAAAUUUAUACUAAAUUACAAUGACUAUUGCUUCAAAUAAUCAUAAAAGUUGUGUUUUGUAGGUAUUCUGGUAGUAGCUUCUGUUAAUCUGGGAUAUUUUAAUGCUCUUGGACUAAAACUCCUUUAUGGUGAAAUAAGCUGGGUCAGAACCUCCCUGUUACAGUCUGAACAGAAACCAACUACCAAAAGCAUGUCUCUGCUAUGCAUACAACUUCUGCUUGUCCUUCCUUAUACAGGGCAAGGAAAUUCGAGAGAGUCUAUCUGGCCAGUGAUUCGGGAAGGUUAGAAAUACUUUAUAAAUCACUGUGCUACAUGAAGAGCUGGACAAAGGACACCUGUGCCUCUUGCAUUACAAGUUCCUACCAAGAAACUGGUGGUGGUUUUCCUCCACCAAACCAGGAGCCUUGGCUAACACUGUUUAUAACUCUUUUCACAUCAGAACGGGCUUCUCCAUUUUUGAUUUUGUACCUCCCACAGUAAAAUAAAGGCUGUCUCAGUUUUUCCAUCUCACUAAUUAAAAUGGAGAUUUUGUUAAGAAUGGACUGCAGAGAACAGCUGUAAAAAUUACACUUUACCUACUAAUAACAACUUUGGAAGUAUGGCAACUCAGUUUUCACAAUAAAGUGAUAUAUAGAAAGAUUA